UUCUUCAUACUAAAAAAAACCAAGUCAUUUGUGCUUAUUGUAUAUGGAUAUCUGAUGAAUAUAUAUGUAUUGAUCCAUCCGCACUUUGAUUUUCUGCUGUCCAUCCUGACUUGUAACUUACACUUAAUUUUAGGACACUGUAAACUGUUACAUCAAUCUAACGGCCCUAUUACAGCUAUUUUGCUUGAAUUGUAUUGUAUGCCGUAUUGGAGCAAUGCAGCUCUGAGGAUGAGAUGGAGGCAGAGGUGAAGGAAGAGAUGGAGAAAGAAACAGAGAUUGAGACGGAGUGAGAGACGGAGGUGGGCCUCCCCCACUUCAGGGCCCCUUUCCUGUGCUCGGGUUGUUUGAGGACACGGUGAACUGGGCCACCCGAUCCUGAAGAGGGCCCACUGAGGGGGGAAAACGACGGCCAAUAUGGAUCAUCAAGCAACGCUGCGGAUCUUGAGAGACUCCUCAGCAUGGAGAGAGAGCAGAGGGAGGAGAAAAGCCAGGUCUGGAGGAGUGGGAUUGGAGGAAUUGAUGAAAGGGGCGGGGACUGGCAGCUACAGUGAAGCAUAGGGACAACAGAUAAACGCAGCUUGAGUCUGGGGUCUAAGAGAGGCAUACUUAUUACAUCGGUGGAUUCAGGCUACAUGAAUAGGCUCACUGUGAAACUCUGGCUCUCUCUUCACACUCUCCUCGUUCACACAGCGCUUCACUCGUCAGCGGCAUUCCUGAACGCUGAGGUAAGAGGGCACUACACCUCAGUGAGCCAGAACACACACACUUCCACACACACACACACACACACACAAAACAUUUUUUUUUUUCGUUUGCUCAACAAACAGCACAGCAAACAGAUACAUAAUUACAUGGUGCAUGCACAGAGAUCUGUGUGCACACCAGCGCUGUCAAAAAUUACAUUCAGAUUUUAAUUACUUCAAAAAUUUGAUAUUCAAACGUAUUAGAACAUUGCUACUCAGACCAAAACUCAUGGGCCACAUGUGGCUCUUUUAUUUACAUUAUUUUAUUGUUUUAUAAAUGUGGCCCUUUAUAUGGUUUGAUUAUUAUUAUCUUUGAUAUGCAUAUAUUUUUAUUACAAUUCCAAUAGACUUGUUAUAUAGAAAUAUUUUAUAUAGCAUUCAACUUAUAGGAAAAUAAUCAAUGACAGAGUGGUGUGAUGCGGCUGUUUCCCGGCCGAAGUGGAUUAUUUUCCUAUAACAGUAUGUCCCAAAACAUUUUAUUCCUUUUAUACCACAGCAAUUUGCUAAUUCCUGUUAUUACUUACGUUAUAGCAGCUAUAAGCUGUCUUUUUCUCUCCCUAAUCCUCUCUUUUUUUCUCUCUUGGAGUUAAUAAGACAAAAGAACAAAGUUCGUCAUGUUUCCAAGAACCUGGAAAGUCAUCUGUCCUGAAAAGUCCCAUGGCAAAAACCAUACUGACAGUUACAAAGCACUGACCCCUACCAUAAAGAUUUGCUGUGACAUUUGUGAGAGGAUAUACCACCAUACCCACAAGUUAACGCACAAGGAUUACCAGUGUCCAGCAUGUAUACCUAAAAUGGACCAAUAUAAAGUACCUUUUGCAGUAAAUUUUGAAAUAAAUAAAUAAAUAAAUUUCAAAUAUUUGUUUUAUUGUUAAUUAUAAAAAAAUCAUUUAUUUUAUUUCUUUGUUCAAUAUUUAUACUGUUGAAUUCCUUCCCUUUUGUUGUUCUUAGAUCCUGGCUUUUUUAUAUUUAAUCUUUUUUUUGUAAAGCUUGAGUUUUUUUUUUCAUGGAAAUCUAAUAAAAUAUUAACUGUUACUCUUACGCUGUUUGAUUAUAAACAGUCAUGAAGUGUACAAUAAAAAAAUUUUAACCUGAGAAACAGAAUCAGGUACAGAUCAUGAGAUAAAAGUUAGAGCUGCUAUAGACAUGUUUUUUUUGUCUGCUUCCUGUGGAAUGGAUACAUGGAAAUUUGAAUGACCAGUACAGGCAUGACAAGCUUCCACUGAAGCGUCCACUGUCUUCAAUUCAUCUUUUUUUAUUUUUGUAAUGAAGCCGAUUCUAACACAGUUAAGCCAAAUGUGCUUUCUAUGACUAUGAGCCAGG